GCUCCGGUGGCCUAGUGGUUAGAGCGUCCGCCUCUGAUGAAGGAGGUCGUGGGUUCGACCCACGGCCGAGUCA